UACGUAGGGGGCGAGCGUUAUCCAGAUUUACUGGGCGUAAAGGGCGCGUAGGCGGCCGAUCAAGUCAGAUGUGAAAGUCCUGGGCUUAACCUGGGGACUGCAUUUGAUACUGAUUGGCUUGAAUGCAGGAGAGGAUAGCGGAAUUCCCAGUGUAGAGGUGAAAUUCGUAGAUAUUGGGAAGAACACCGGUGGCGAAGGCGGCUAUCUGGACUGGUGAUUGACGCUGAGGCGCGAAAGCGUGG
rnacentral:rRNA from 1 species